AACGAACGCUGGCGGCAGGCCUAACACAUGCAAGUCGAGCGAGGACUUCGGUCCUAGCGGCGGACGGGUGCGUAACGCGUGGGAACGUGCCCUUUGCUUCGGAAUAGCCCUGGGAAACUGGGAGUAAUACCGGAUGAGCCCUUUGGGGGAAAGAUUUAUCGGCGAAGGAUCGGCCCGCGUUGGAUUAGGUAGUUGGUGGGGUAAAGGCCUACCAAGCCGACGAUCCAUAGCUGGUUUGAGAGGAUGAUCAGCCACACUGGGACUGAGACACGGCCCAGACUCCUACGGGAAGCAGCAGUGGGGAAUCUUAGACAAUGGGGGAAACCCUGAUCCAGCCAUGCCGCGUGAGCGAUGAAGGCCUUAGGGUUGUAAAGCUCUUUCAGCUGGGAAGAUAAUGACGGUACCAGCAGAAGAAGCUCCGGCUAACUCCGUG
rnacentral:rRNA from 1 species